rnacentral:rRNA from 1 species
UACGUAGGGUGCGAGCGUUAAUCGGAAUUACUGGGCGUAAAGCGUGCGUAGGCGGUUCGUUAAGUCAGAUGUGAAAGCCCCGGGCUCAACCUGGGAACUGCAUUUGAAACUGGCGGGCUUGAGUAUGGCAGAGGGGGGUGGAAUUCCGCGUGUAGCAGUGAAAUGCGUAGAGAUGCGGAGGAACACCGAUGGCGAAGGCAGCCCCCUGGGCCAAUACUGACGCUCAGGCACGAAAGCGUGGGGAGCAAACAGG